rnacentral:rRNA from 1 species
CCAAUAGCGUAUAUUAAAGUUGUUGCAGUUAAAAAGCUCGUAGUUGAAUUUCGGGGUUAGUAGGUUGGUCAUGCCUCUGGUAUGUACUGGUCUCACUGAUUCCUCCUUCCUGAUGAUACGUAAUGCCAUUUAUUUGGUGUUGCGGGGAAUUUGGACUGUUACUUUGAAAAAAUUAGAGUGUUUAAAGCAAGCUAACGCUUGAAUACAUUCGCAUGGAAUAAUGAAAUAGGACGUUCGAUCCUAUUUUGUUGGUUUCGAGGAUUGACGUAAUGAUUAAUAGGGAUAGUUGGGGGCAUUAGUAUUCAAUUGUCAGAGGUGAAAUUCUUGGAUUUAUUGAAGACUAACUACUGCGAAAGCAUUUGCCAAGGAUGUUUUCAUUAAUCAAGAACGAAAGUUAGGGGAUCGAAGACGAUCAGAUACCGUCGUAGUCUUAACCAUAAACUAUGCCGACUAGGGAUCGGAUGAUGUUAAUUUUUUAAUGACUCAUUCGGCGCCUUACG